UACGUAGGGUGCAAGCGUUAUCCGGAUUCACUGGGUUUAAAGGGCGCGUAGGCGGCCUGCUAAGUCGAACGUGAAAUCCCCGAGCUCAACUCGGGAACUGCGUCCGAUACUGGCAGGCUUGAAUCCGGGAGAGGGAUGCGGAAUUCCAGGUGUAGCGGUGAAAUGCGUAGAUAUCUGGAGGAACACCGGUGGCGAAGGCGGCAUCCUGGACCGGCAUUGACGCUGAGGCGCGAAAGCCAGGGGAGCAAACGGG
rnacentral:rRNA from 1 species